CUGGGGUACUCGAGUGGCGAACGGGUGAGUAACACGUGGGUGAUCUGCCCUGCACUUCGGGAUAAGCCUGGGAAACUGGGUCUAAUACCGGAUAGGAGCCAUUUUUAGUGUGAUGGUUGGAAAGUUUUUCGGUGUAGGAUGAGCUCGCGGCCUAUCAGCUUGUUGGUGGGGUAAUGGCCUACCAAGGCGGCGACGGGUAGCCGGCCUGAGAGGGUGUACGGCCACAUUGGGACUGAGAUACGGCCCGG
rnacentral:rRNA from 1 species